rnacentral:rRNA from 1 species
GACGAACGCUGGCGGCGUGCUUAACACAUGCAAGUCGAACGGAAAGGCCCUGCUUUUGUGGGGUGCUCGAGUGGCGAACGGGUGAGUAACACGUGAGUAACCUGCCCUUGACUUUGGGAUAACUUCAGGAAACUGGGGCUAAUACCGGAUAGGAGCUCCUGCUGCAUGGUGGGGGUUGGAAAGUUUCGGCGGUUGGGGAUGGACUCGCGGCUUAUCAGCUUGUUGGUGGGGUAGUGGCUUACCAAGGGUUUGACGGGUAGCCGGCCUGGGAGGGUGACCGGCCACAUUAGGACUGAGAUACGGCCCAGACUCCUACGGGAGGCAGCAGUGGGGAAUAUUGCACAAUGGGCGGAAGCCUGAUGCAGCAACGCCGCGUGCGGGAUGACGGCCUUCGGGUUGUAAACCGCUUUCGCCUGUGACGAAGCGUGAGUGACGGUAAUGGGUAAAGAAGCACCGGCUAACUACGUG